GACGAACGCUGGCGGCGUGCUUAACACAUGCAAGUCGAACGGAAAGGCCCUGCUUUUGUGGGGUGCUCGAGUGGCGAACGGGUGAUUAACACGUGAGUAACCUGCCCUUGACUUUGGGAUAACUUCAGGAAACUGGGUCUAAUACCGGAUAGGAGCUCCUGCUGCAUGGUGGGGGUUGGAAAGUUUCGGCGGUUGGGGAUGGACUCGCGGCUUAUCAGCUUGUUGGUGGGGUAGUGGCUUACCAAGGCUUUGACGGGUAGCCGGCCUGAGAGGGUGACCGGCGACAUUGGGACUGAGAUACGGCGCAGACUCCUACGGGAGGCAGCAGUGGGGAAUAUUGCACAAUGGGCGGAAGCCUGAUGCAGCAACGCCGCGUGCGGGAUGACGGCCUUCGGGUUGUAAACCGCUUUCGCCUGUGACGAAGCGUGAGUGACGGUAAUGGGUAAAGAAGCACCGGCUAACUACGUG
rnacentral:rRNA from 1 species